rnacentral:rRNA from 1 species
UUGACCUCGGAUCAGGUAGGAAUACCCGCUGAACUUAAGCAUAUCAAUAAGUCGGAGGAACGACUCCCCGGCCUCGGGG